CCCAGAAGCUUUUGGAAGGCAGUGACAGUGGCUGUGAUCUAUUGGGCCAUCGUUAUUUUUGUCAUGAAGACUAUAUUGCUUCAUAAUUAAUAUGAUAUUGAAACUAGAUAUCACAGGAUGAAAAGCACUUAAAAUAUUUGUAGAUUAACAUCUGGAAUCUUGGAGAGUGAGCAAAUGAUGAUAUUUACAUCUGAAGUUUAAACUACUUCUUUGAGAUCUACUCUGAAGAUU
rnacentral:lncRNA from 1 species